rnacentral:rRNA from 1 species
GAUGAACGCUGGCGGCGUGCCUAAUACAUGCAAGUCGAGCGAACAGACGAGGAGCUUGCUCCUCUGACGUUAGCGGCGGACGGGUGAGUAACACGUGGAUAACCUACCUAUAAGACUGGGAUAACUUCGGGAAACCGGAGCUAAUACCGGAUAAUAUAUUGAACCGCAUGGUUCAAUAGUGAAAGACGGUUUUGCUGUCACUUAUAGAUGGAUCCGCGCCGCAUUAGCUAGUUGGUAAGGUAACGGCUUACCAAGGCGACGAUGCGUAGCCGACCUGAGAGGGUGAUCGGCCACACUGGAACUGAGACACGGUCCGGACUCCUACGGGAGGCAGCAGUAGGGAAUCUUCCGCAAUGGGCGAAAGCCUGACGGAGCAACGCCGCGUGAGUGAUGAAGGUCUUCGGAACGUAAAACUCUGUUAUUAGGGAAGAACAAAUGUGUAAGUAACUAUGCACGUCUUGACGGUACCUAAUCAGAAAGCCACGGCUAACUACGUG